GACGGAGGAUGCAAGCGUUAUCCGGAAUUAUUGGGCGUAAAGCGUCCGUAGGCGGUUUCAAAAGUCUGUUGUUAAAGCCCACAGCUCAACUGUGGAUCGGCAAUGGAAACUGUGAGACUAGAGAGUGGUAGGGGUAGAGGGAAUUCCUAGUGUAGCGGUGAAAUGCGUAGAUAUUAGGAAGAACACCAGUGGCGAAGGCGCUCUGCUGGACCAUAACUGACACUCAGGGACGAAAGCUAGGGGAGCGAAUGGG
rnacentral:rRNA from 1 species